UACAUAGGUCUCAAGCGUUGUUCGGAUUCAUUGGGCGUAAAGGGCGCGUAGGCGGCUCGGCAAGUCGGGUGUGAAAUCUCGGAGCUUAACUCCGAAACUGCAUUCGAUACUGCCGUGCUUGAGGACUGGAGAGGAGACUGGAAUUUACGGUGUAGCGGUGAAAUGCGUAGAUAUCGUAAGGAAGACCAGUGGCGAAGGCGGGUCUCUGGACAGUUCCUGACGCUGAGGCACGAAGGUCAGGGGAGCAAACGGG
rnacentral:rRNA from 1 species